AGCGAACGCUGGCGGCAGGCCUAAUACAUGCAAGUCGAGCGGUCCCUUCGGGGGCAGCGGCGGACGGGUGAGUAACGCGUGGGAACGUGCCCUUUGGUACGGAACAACUGAGGGAAACUUCAGCUAAUACCGUAUGUGCCCUUCGGGGGAAAGAUUUAUCGCCAUUGGAGCGGCCCGCGUUGGAUUAGGUAGUUGGUGAGGUAAAGGCUCACCAAGCCUACGAUCCAUAGCUGGUCUGAGAGGAUGAUCAGCCACACUGGGACUGAGACACGGCCCAGACUCCUACGGGAGGCAGCAGUAGGGAAUCUUGCGCAAUGGGCGAAAGCCUGACGCAGCCAUGCCGCGUGAAUGAUGAAGGUCUUAGGAUUGUAAAAUUCUUUCACCGGGGACGAUAAUGACGGUACCCGGAGAAGAAGCCCGGCUAACUUCGUG
rnacentral:rRNA from 1 species